CGUCCCACCAAGAAGCGGUUUAGAAAAGUGGCCACAGCUCCAGCUGUAGAUAGUUGAUAAUGGGAGCAAACUCUUUUCAGAUCCACUGACGCCUAAAGGCGGAUCAGCCAAUCCUGAGUCUGGUGAACCCAACAGAUGAGGUUUGAACUCUAGCGAACAAACCCUCCUCAGUAGAUAGUUUGUUCUAGGAGGGCUGACCGGAGGAGUCCUAAAACUUAAGGGCAGAUUACCUGUUGUCAACAACAGUGCAAGAUCAAAUUCACAAACACUCAAUAAAGGAAAAUUUCCUGAAUUAAGCACAACUUUCAGAAAUUUCACUCCAUGAACAGCUACCUGCAUGCAUAUCAAACCAUGAGGAUGAACGAGCUAGGCCAGUAAGAGGAGUGUUAGAUGUCGUUGCGGCUUCCCCUAGUCGGCCAGUGGGCUUCGAGGGUUUCGCAACAACUUGUUCGAUUCCAAUGAUAGAAAGCACACGCCGCCCGAGACUUGCAAUACGUGGAGAUGGGUCUCUAGCUAAGGCAAACAUAGCUCGAAUGCACUGCGAAUAAACAGCAUUGUCCAAUAGUCUUUGGUGAUGGCCAGCUCCAUUGCUGACAAUGUCAAGCAUGAUUCCAGAAUCAGAAUGUAACGAAGAAUCAUCAGAUAAUGGAGAUCCAUUCAUCAGCCCAGCCGAGCCAAGAGGGCUGCUUGAGAUCUUGGCCUCACGAGCCACUGGUUGGCUAUCAGUGCUAGCUCUAGUCAGAGGACUCAUGUGUAAAGAAACAAGUUUUGCACUCCCAGCAUCAUGGAGUUUAGCUAUUGAAGGGAGCGAAGUAAGCAAAGAACUUGACUGAGGCUUGCAAUAUGAAGAUGCGGCUGACUUUAGGUGCUGUUUGUGGCCGAAGGCAAAACGUGCAAGAGCUGUAGAAACAUUAACAAAAGAUAAGACUUGGGGAUCAAAUAGGAAAGAAAUAAAAGUAAGCAAGCUCGCUUCAAGAUGUACAUGCAGAAUGAAAAAGACAGACAUUGGAAAUUGCACAAAAUUAUAUAUGAACUCUCUAAGCGAAGAACAAUAUGGUUUCGAGGUUGUAUUGAGUUAGAAACUAUCAGGCUCUCUAGCUAACGCAACAAAAAAAAUUAGAUGCCUAUGUAAAUUGGAGUUAUUCAAAUUCAGUAAAAGGUAAAUCAAUAAAUAAAAGGUAGGAGAGACGUAUCUAAUUUAAAAUAAUCUCAUUAGGUUAGAAUAUUUUGGCUUUGAAGUUAAAUAACUAUUUAGGUACCCAUAGUCCUAAGAUCAUGAAUGUUCAAGAGUUGCAUGCUUUGCGUACCUACAGCAACCUCUGCCCGGACAAGUGGACUCCCAUCUGAGACAACAUCUAAGAGACUUUUAAUGAUAGCUUCUUCUGCUCUAAUCUUUUCAUCAUCAUCAAAUUCAUCGUCCACAACACUUUUACUAGAGUCAAACCCAAUAUCAACUAAGGUACCCAGGGCAAAAACAGCAGCAGCCCUUACCUGCAAGGGAUUGUUAUGGUCAGCAACUACACUACUAAAAGAAGGAUAAUAUGAAGAAAUCUGGGCUUCACCUAAAGUACUUAGUGGCUUAGAUGCAUCUCGAUAAAAUAAACUAAAAAGUCACGAAGAAGAUCAAACUUUAAGAACAGUUUUAAAGGGAAGCUUUUCUAAAUGAUUAUGCUAGACAGAGAGAUCUAAUCAAUUAGAUCUAGCUUCAAAAGCGAACACCUUUUGUUUUGAGGUAACUAGACAGUACUCUGGCUAACAGGUGAACCUGAACGCAAGAAACUGAUAUAAGAUGCAGAUUUUAGCUUACCUGAUCCGUUCAUUCUCAUCCGCAGCAACUACAAUAGGAGAGAAAGGGUGAAGGAGAGCUGUCUUUGUUCCCGAUUCAAACCUCGUAUCCCAGUUGGCAAUAGGAUUAUUGCUGAGCUUGCUAAUAGCUGGUCAAGGUAAAAAUAUUGUAGUUAAGUUCAAGUGAGUAGUGCAGGUAUAGAACAAACCAGAGAUAAAAAGACAAACUAUUUACAGGAGUGCUGGCAUUUUGCAAUAUGCUCGAGUGCGAAUUUUUCUUUCUCUUCUCUUUUGGUAACUAUCUCUUGACUAGCAUCCGUCCCACCAAGAAGCGGUUUAGAAAAGUGGCCACAGCUCCAGCUGUAGAUAGUUGAUAAUGGGAGCAAACUCUUUUCAGAUCCACUGACGCCUAAAGGCGGAUCAGCCAAUCCUGAGUCUGGUGAACCCAACAGAUGAGGUUUGAACUCUAGCGAACAAACCCUCCUCAGUAGAUAGUUUGUUCUAGGAGGGCUGACCGGAGGAGUCCUAAAACUUAAGGGCA
rnacentral:lncRNA from 1 species